GGCUGGAUGCUACCUGUUGGGCCCACUGUCUCACUGCCGCGUGAGUAUGCAGAUCCGUUGACAUCUCAUCGAGAUGAGCAUCAAUAAUGCUGAUAGGGUAUGUAAACAAAGAAGGUGAGAAGAAAUGAAGUGAUAGCGAUUGGAGCGAAAUGUCAGGUAGAGGAAUCAUAGAAAAAGGAGGCAAUAUAGAGAGUUAGUAGAAAGUGUUUAAAGUUGCGAGAUAGUUGAAUUAAAGUGGAUUGUGGACGGUUUUCUCAAGUGAACGAAGUUGCUUGGAGAUAGAACGGCACAAGAUUUUAAUAGUGAAGGAAACUAUACCGCUUUACGUGGACGAAGAUAAACGAGGUUAGGAAAGGGAGAUAAGUGCGAAUAGUGACAACACGAGAAUUAAUCGUGCGUGACGUUGUACGGAGUAAAAGCGAAAGGGACGAAUACAGAUCAGUUGGUGACAAACAACAGAGAUUAGAUUAAAUAUCAAGUAAGUGGCAUAAAAGAGAGAACAAAUUAAAACUUAUGUUAUCUAGCACAUGCAUUACAAUAUUUGUAUACUUGAAAGUAAUUUAAAAAUAAUCAAAAUUUCAGUAUCGUAUUGUUGGUUUGGAAAGGUGUAACGAGGAGGAAGAACGGCAAAGUGAAAGGGAAACAAACAAUUGUAAGUUACAAAUUAAAAGACAAUAUGUUAGUUGUAUGUACUGAAUCAUAAUUAAAUUGGAUUCCAGCUUUGAUCUGCUGAACAUAAAGCUGAUUUCAAAGGUUUUGUUUUACCGUUAGUUCCGAACACUACCCGUAGCAAAUUGCAAAAAGAAUGAGUAAAAUCCUUUAAUAGCAACGGAUCAUGAAAGCUCCGUUGUUUCACUUGCUUGUACAGAAGGAAAGUCGUGACGGUAAUUGGAUCUGUAAUUCAAAUCUAAUGAUUAGCACCGUAAUCAUCAAUCCACCAACCGGACCAUAGCUCUAUAAAAUUGUCUCCUCAGUAUACUGGUCUUGACAUAGAGAGAAAACGCACCACCCAAGUUCAAACAAUCGAACUAAAAAGGAGCCAAAGUAAGCACCAAAGUGGCACAAAACAGAGACUCCGCCAACGGCGCCUGCUGCGAUCCUGCUAUGCCUAUGACUACGAAGAACUAGGGGCAGAUCACUUGUGAUGCAUUUUUAAAAAUCAGCUAAAUUAAAUGCAUUUCCUUCCAUCAAAAUAGAAAUUCGUAAUGUAUUUUGCGUUGCGUGCAAUGUAUUUUGCGUUGCGUGUAAGACGUCAAAACCCUACAAAAAAUUAGCCCUACAUUCAACAAAACGUCGAACAAAGUGAAUCAGCGUAGGACGUUUGUUAAACAAACUUUUCUGCGAGGGAGUGCAAAGUUGAUGCAAAAAUGGAAAUUAAAUGCAUUUUUUCUAAUUUGAUGCAAAUUUGUUAUACAUUUCUAAAGUCAUCUGCCUCUAGACGAAUAACCUUUGCUUCAAUUGAAUACUUUAGGGAGGAUCCAUAAAUGACGUAGCAUUUUUGAGUGAUUUUUAACACCCCCCUCCCCCAUCGUAGCAUUUCGUUACAAACUUCUAUAUACCCCCCUG